rnacentral:rRNA from 1 species
AUUGAACGCUGGCGGCAUGCUUUACACAUGCAAGUCGAACGGCAGCGCGGGCUUCGGCCUGGCGUCGAGUGGCGAACGGGUGAGUAAUACAUCGGAACGUGCCCAGUAGUGGGGGAUAGCUCGGCGAAAGCCGGAUUAAUACCGCAUACGACCUGAGGGUGAAAGCGGGGGAUCUUCGGACCUCGCGCUCUUGGAGCGUCCGAUGGCAGAUUAGCUAGUUGGUGGGGUAAAGGCCUACCAAGGCGUCGAUCUGUAGCUGGUCUGAGAGGACGACCAGCCACACUGGGACUGAGACACGGCCCAGACUCCUACGGGAGGCAGCAGUGGGGAAUUUUGGACAAUGGGCGAAAGCCUGAUCCAGCAAUGCCGCGUGUGUGAUGAAGGCCUUCGGGUUGUAAAGCACUUUUGGCGGGAACGAAAAGGACUGUGCCAAUACCACGGUUCGAUGACGGUACCCGCAGAAUAAGCACCGGCUAACUACGUG